CGGCUCAGAAAAAAAAAACUAGAAAAAAAACAGAAGAUGCGCCCCGCAGUCGGUACCAUUACACAGCGAGUGGUGCAAGCGGCGGCUGUUUGCUAUCCGUGGACUCCUUUGUGGCGUGUCAGUUUCGUUGCUUCUUGGUGCUCCUCCCACUUCUCCCGAGGUUGUGGUACAGGGUCUGCGCGGGCAGAUUCAGCGCGCCCCUACACAACGCUGACGCGAUCGCUGCGGCAGUCGUGGAAGUCGAGGAGUCUGCGCCCGUGGAUGUGCGCGAAGGAGUCCUGCCGCGCCGUGAACCAAGGAAUACGCAAAGAGUGCGAGUCUUGUGGAACAGAGAAGCCGCAGCUGCUAGGGUGGAAGUGCGUGGGUUGCAGUACCAUCAACUACGCCGGUGUGCGGAAGUGCAAGAAAUGCGCGGAUGCGAUCGACAAGAGCAAGGAGUUCUGGAUGUGUGCUGUCUGUCACGAAAACAAUCGCGUAGACGAGAUAGAGGACAACAGUCGUUGUGGAUUCUGUGGAUACGAUAUGGCACCACACAGCGUUGCGGAGGAGGAGAUCCUGCGCCGUGCAACGGAGAAAACCUUGAUGCUUCAGCAGCAGCAGGAACACUUUGACUCCGUUUCGUACACGGAGGCAGACGAGCAGUUUAUGAAUCCGCUAGAAGGGGCGGAGGCCUUGGAUCCAACGCUGCGCGCCAUCCACCCCGGCAGCGAGGCGCCGAUCACGGGACGUGUGCUCAAGCUGUCAGCUGUGGCGCCCUUUGUGGCCGGAGGCGUACCGGAAACGCGGCAUUCACCGCUGCAUCAACGAAGAAAAGUCCACCCAGCCUUGCAGACAGUCUUGGAGGGGGCGACGGCGCCGGAAGGUCCGCCUGGGUUUGACUGGAUGUGCCGCAACUCCAGCUGUGGCCACAUCAACCCUGGCGACGAAGAGAGCUGUUUAAGGUGUGGUACGCACAUUACCCCCUCGGAGUGGGAGUGCCCGCUAUGCGCGUCCUUGAACCACCUGGCGCGCUCGCGCUGCUUCUAUUGCAAAAACCGCAUUCCGGUUUGUUGGACCUGCAGUGCGUGUCAGGGGACGACGAGCAUCUAUGACAAGGCGUGCCGCGGCUGCGGCAUGGAUCGCCCGGCCGCUGAGCCCCGGACGGUUCGCGAAUUAGAACGAGGCGGUGGUGACCAUGUUGGUGGUUACGUUCCGCAAGGGAAUAGGGCUCGUGGGGAGUGGUACUGCUCGACAUGCAACGCCUUGAAUUUUUCUCGUCGUACGGAGUGCUUCCAGUGCACUUCGCCGCGUCCCGCAGUACCGGACCAAGGGGUUGCCGACCCGUUCAGCGCCGCAGGCUGGGGAGGGACGGACAGUCCCGGCGCUGCCGCCGUUGCUGCACCAGUGCAGCAUAAUAACUGGAUGUGCGCCUACUGUCAGGCGAGCAACUUCCGCACGCGCCACGACUGCUGGAAGUGUGGCCGUACCUCGGAGCGGGCAGAGGAAUGGUCUAGCCAGGCGCUGUCGCCGCAAUACGAGCGCGAGGGCUUCCAGGAGGGCGCGAACACGAAGUCUGCCGAGGGAGCCAUGAACGCGUCGUGGAAGUCGGCGGGAGACUGGUUGUGCGCGAAGUGCUACUCAAAGAACUUCAGGAAUCGCCUCGAGUGUUACCGCUGCGGCGCUCGCAAGCAUGCCCUUCCGGCCACUCGAAGCAGCAGUGUACGCAAGCCUGUGAAGCUGUAGGAAAGGCGCCCUCGCCGUGUACUCUUCUGUCUCUAUGUUCCCGCAUGUUGCGAUGUGCGGCAUUGCUGCACCCCGAUGAGGCGCAGAUGACGCGACUGCACGACCGCUACUUCGCAGAGACACUUUUGGCUUUCCGGCCACGAAGAGAUUCGUCUUCCGUCUUCGCCGCUGACCCCGGGGUGGGGGGGGGACAAAGGAGAAGAGGAGGACAAGAUAUGAUGACAACACGCAAGGCGGCAGCGGCCUUAUGGAGAGUGCCACAGGGGCGCUCGUUGUUGUGUAUUCGAUUUGGAACUUACAAGCUCUUCAGACCCCUCCCGCUCCUCUCCCCCAUCGCCCCACCGCGCCCUUGGAAGCAGCGCGCAGACGACGUGAAAGCAUACAGACUUGCCCUUCCCACCACCACCACGACCACUACCACUGCGUGUGGUCGACCGCGUCUCUGCGCAGGUGGCGUUGCAGACAAAGGCAAGCAACGCUGGGAAAGUAGGGCGUGCGAACCUCCUCCUUCGUGUUUGUUUUCUGGGGAGGUGCGAGGAGUGGGAGAGGAGGUCUACACGGAGCGGGGAACGUCGGAUACCAACACCCCUGAGCGUGUGCUUCGUGCCCGACGCUCCAUCUAAGCGAUAUACCGCCGUCCUUUUACGAAGGCAGCAGGAGCAAAGCGGCCCUGCUAUGUGACGCGUGUAGUGCUGCACGCAGACGAGAAGGGAAGCAUGUCCUGUGAUGCGGUCAAAAUGCUUUUCUGGGUGCGUGCGCGUCCGUGUGCGCACCUGUGGUGCUUUCGUUUGCCGGCCUUUGUCUUCCUUUGCUGAGGCCGAAGGGGCCACACCCUUCUGUAAGGCGAGGAAGACAAACAAGCGAACGGCAGUGGCACAUC
rnacentral:misc_RNA from 1 species